CCCCACCUGCUCCUGUUCUCGGCUACUACGUUUUCCAGAACCCUCCACCACAGUUCAUCAUGCCUCAUGCCAGUCUUCAGCCCUGGGGGGCAGCCAAAGGGUAGAAAAGCACUAAUAAAGAUGAGUACAAGAUGGUAUGAUACCCGGUGAAGCCUUUCCAAUUGAACUGUUUUUAACCCUCGUGUUCUGUCUAUUACUUAGCAAUGAAUUUCCCAAAAUAUAAUAGAAAUCAAUAUAGUAGUAAUAGCAUAAUUUGAAAUAUCCAUUUGUAACUUAUCAUUAUGUUAAUAUAAACAAUAUGAAAGAAAUAACAACAAAAACCCUUCACACAUAAGCACAUGUGCAAGUGAGAGAUUGAGGCCAUGUGAUAACAGCUGAAAUCAACUUUUGUUUUAUAUCUUUUCUACAAACUGUAUACAUAUACACUUAAAUUAGUGUAUAUUUUAUACAUUUGUUACUGUUACUAUCUGGGUGUAGUCUUUAUAGUAUAAAUAACAUAGAGUAUAAGCAUAAUUUUAUAAUGGUUAGUGGACCUUUUUAUUAGACCAUCUUGGCUCAAACAGAACAUGUGGGUUGAUCAUUCAUAAUAACAUACUGAGAUAUUUAUAAAUGAUUUAGAAUAGAAAUAUCAUAUAUGAUGAUAAUGACAUGAUAUGUUGUAAUAGCGUUCUUUAUGUUACAUGUGAUCCUUACAGAAUUAAUGACUGAACCAAGUAAUUCUAUUUGUACAUGUAUUUUUAGCCUAACCAUUUUAAUCAGGGACCACAUUGUACGGUGCAUAAAUCAUAAUUGUAAUGCAACUGUGCAAGUAAUAAGGUUAUUUUCAUUUGCUUAUGUAAAGUGUCAAAAUAUCUUCUUUGGGAUGACAUUUAAUAACAUUAAUAAAUGUUAUCAAAUUGUGUCAAAUCAGGUCGGUUAAAAAAGACAUACCCAAAUUAUAUGUUCUCUCUGGUAUGUCAGUCUAUUGCCUUUAUUCUUUGCUUUUAUGCAAGUGCAUGGUUUGAAUCCAAAGAGUGCAAGCUAGGCUGCACUAAAAAUACUGUGACCUUUGUGCAAUACAUGUAGUGCUGUAGCUCACAGUUCACUGUGACAAAAUAUUUCUCAGGAUACUGAAUUAACUGCAUAAAAAUGGACCAUUGUGUAAAUGAAUCAUAGAAAUUCCUUUAUAAUGGUCAUUGUGUGCAGUGUUUCUUGUGCUAAUUUCUGUCACUCACUUCAGAGCUGGUAGAUGUAGUAGUUGCUGUGUGUUGCCAAAAGCAGUAUAUAUUGUGCCAUGCUUAGAACUUUUUUUUUGCUUUUCAUAGCCACAUUAUUAUAAGAUUGUGAUUUUGUACAGUCCAGAACAUUUCUUAGCUUCGUAAGAAAGCCAUGCUUUAAACAAUUGAAUCAAUAUUUUAUGCAAGACCAAUUUUUACAAUCAAGAAUAAUUAUAGUCUGACGCUGGAUUUUGCUGUUGUAAAUUGCUUUGAACACUGAAAUUGUAAACUUUGUAUUUUU
ensembl:lncRNA